rnacentral:rRNA from 1 species
AGAGUUUGAUCCUGGCUCAGAACGAACGCUGGCGGCGUGCCUAACACAUGCAAGUCGAACGAGAAAGGGGCUUCGGCUCCGAGUAAAGUGGCGCACGGGUGAGUAACACGUAGGUAACCUGCCUCUAAGAUUGGGAUAACUUGUCGAAAGAUGAGCUAAUACCAAAUAAGACCACGGUUUCCUCGGGGACAGGGGUCAAAGGUAGCCUCUAUUUAUAAGCUAUCGCUGAGAGAUGGGCCUGCGUACCAUUAGCUAGUUGGUGAGGUAACGGCUCACCAAGGCAAAGAUGGUUAGCUGGUCUGAGAGGAUGAUCAGCCACACUGGAACUGAGACACGGUCCAGACUCCUACGGGAGGCAGCAGUGGGGAAUAUUGCGCAAUGGGCGAAAGCCUGACGCAGCAACGCCGCGUGAGUGAUGAAGGCCUUCGGGUCGUAAAGCUCUGUCGGAGGGAACGAAUGCUCCAGAGGUUAACAGCCUCCGGAGGUGACGGUACCCUCAAAGGAAGCACCGGCUAACUCUGUGCCAGCAGCCGCGGUAAU